GAGAAUUUCUAUCCAUCUCCCUUCUUCUACCUUGAUGGCUCUCACUUGGGAACAAACGAACGAACAAACAAACAAACAAACAAACAGAAGAAGAAGAAGAAGAAGAAGAAGCAGCAGAAGAAGCAGAAGAGCCCUCGGUGGAGAAAGAGAGGAAGGGCAGCAGCAGCAUGGGAACUAGCGCUGCAAUGGAACAAACUCUCUCUGCAUGGGUCCCUCCCGCUUCUCUUUUUCUCUUCCUUCCUUCCUUUCUUUCUUUCUAUCUGUUUUUCCUGUUUUUUC
rnacentral:lncRNA from 1 species